ensembl:lncRNA
GUUAUCAGGAACACCUGAGCAGCUCAGUGUCUUCCUGCUUUAUUUAGCUGCAGACAAACAUUUCCUCUCCUUCUCUCCACCACAGAACCUGGUUUGGCUCCAUUGCUUCAGUUUGUUUUUUAGGCGUUGGCUUGCAGCUUCCAGCAGUAAAAUAGACUUUAAUGUGUUUCUUGGUGUGUUUUAGGGCUUUGUACUGGAUAGUUGUCUUGGUAAAUGUGGUUCUUUGGCCACAGUUAGCACAUGGUGCUAAUGUGUGCAGUGAUUAGUGGAUUUGGUGCAGCUGAGUUGUGUCUUUAUCUUGGCUGUAGUGAGUCUUUAGAGGUUUUGGUCAGACACAUUCUGUAUUCUUGUUUGAGAACCAACGUUGGUUGUCCAGAAGGUAAGAGUUCCUGUCCUGAUUCUCUGUUCUCAGAGGUUCUCUGGUAGGCUGCAGGAGACAUUAGCGUUUGGGUUGUGCUAGUUUGGUUUUUGUAAGGUUUCAUUUGGACGACUAUCUUGAGGCCCCUCCAUGUGGUUUAGUGAGGUUUUCUAGAACAGUUCUACAAAGCAACCUGCAGCAGAAGAGACUUUGAGAGUUUUUAGGAAGUUCUGGAGACCAGACUUUAGAGCAGCAGAAACAUUUGUCAGCAGUUUGAGCAGGAGAAGGUGAGCUUCAGAGUAGAAAUGAG